GGCUGGUCCGAUGGUAGUGAUUUAUCAGAACUUAUUAACAUUAGUGUCACUAAAGUUGGUAUACAACCCCCCACUGCUAAAUUUGACUGGCUUUUA
ensembl:misc_RNA Y_RNA Y RNA